GAUGAACGCUAGCGGCAGGCUUAACACAUGCAAGUCGAGGGGCAGCAUGAUGAAACUUUCGGGUUUCAUUGAUGGCGACCGGCGCAAGGGUGCGUAACGCGUGAGCAACUUGCCCUUAUCAGGGGGAUAACCGGUGGAAACGCCGACUAAUACCCCAUAGUAUCACUUUAAGGCAUCUUUUAGUGAUUAAAGAAAUUCGGAUAAGGAUAGGCUCGCGUGACAUUAGCUAGAUGGCGGGGUAACGGCCCACCAUGGCGACGAUGUCUAGGGGUUCUGAGAGGAAGGUCCCCCACACUGGAACUGAGACACGGUCCAGACUCCUACGGGAGGCAGCAGUGAGGAAUAUUGGUCAAUGGGCGAGAGCCUGAACCAGCCAAGUAGCGUGAAGGAAGACUGCCCUAUGGGUUGUAAACUUCUUUGUUCGGGAAUAAAGUGCAGUACGCGUACCAUUUUGUAUGUACCGUAUGAAUAAGCAUCGGCUAACUCCGUGCCAGCAGCCG
rnacentral:rRNA from 1 species